rnacentral:rRNA from 1 species
AAAUUGAAGAGUUUGAUCAUGGCUCAGAUUGAACGCUGGCGGCAGGCCUAACACAUGCAAGUCGAACGGUAACAGGAAGCAGCUUGCUGCUUUGCUGACGAGUGGCGGACGGGUGAGUAAUGUCUGGGAAACUGCCUGAUGGAGGGGGAUAACUACUGGAAACGGUGGCUAAUACCGCAUAACGUCGCAAGACCAAAGAGGGGGACCUUCGGGCCUCUUGCCAUCAGAUGUGCCCAGAUGGGAUUAGCUAGUUGGUGAGGUAACGGCUCACCAAGGCGACGAUCCCUAGCUGGUCUGAGAGGAUGACCAGCCACACUGGAACUGAGACACGGUCCAGACUCCUACGGGAGGCAGCAGUGGGGAAUAUUGCACAAUGGGCGCAAGCCUGAUGCAGCCAUGCCGCGUGUAUGAAGAAGGCCUUAGGGUUGUAAAGUACUUUCAGCGGGGAGGAAGGUGUUGCGGUUAAUAACCGCAGCAAUUGACGUUACCCGCAGAAGAAGCACCGGCUAACUCCGUGCCAGCAGCCGCGGUAAUACGGAGGGUGCAAGCGUUAAUCGGAAUUACUGGGCGUAAAGCACACGCAGGCGGUCUGUCAAGUCGGAUGUGAAAUCCCCGGGCUCAACCUGGGAACUGCAUUCGAAACUGGCAGGCUUGAGUCUUGUAGAGGGGGGUAGAAUUCCAGGUGUAGCGGUGAAAUGCGUAGAGAUCUGGAGGAAUACCGGUGGCGAAGGCGGCCCCCUGGACAAAGACUGACGCUCAGGUGCGAAAGCGUGGGGAGCAAACAGGAUUAGAUACCCUGGUAGUCCACGCCGUAAACGAUGUCUACUUGGAGGUUGUGCCCUUGAGGCGUGGCUUCCGGAGCUAACGCGUUAAGUAGACCGCCUGGGGAGUACGGCCGCAAGGUUAAAACUCAAAUGAAUUGACGGGGGCCCGCACAAGCGGUGGAGCAUGUGGUUUAAUUCGAUGCAACGCGAAGAACCUUACCUGGUCUUGACAUCCACAGAACUUUCCAGAGAUGGAUUGGUGCCUUCGGGAACUGUGAGACAGGUGCUGCAUGGCUGUCGUCAGCUCGUGUUGUGAAAUGUUGGGUUAAGUCCCGCAACGAGCGCAACCCUUAUCCUUUGUUGCCAGCGAUUAGGUCGGGAACUCAAAGGAGACUGCCAGUGAUAAACUGGAGGAAGGUGGGGAUGACGUCAAGUCAUCAUGGCCCUUACGACCAGGGCUACACACGUGCUACAAUGGCGCAUACAAAGAGAAGCGACCUCGCGAGAGCAAGCGGACCUCAUAAAGUGCGUCGUAGUCCGGAUUGGAGUCUGCAACUCGACUCCAUGAAGUCGGAAUCGCUAGUAAUCGUGGAUCAGAAUGCCACGGUGAAUACGUUCCCGGGCCUUGUACACACCGCCCGUCACACCAUGGGAGUGGGUUGCAAAAGAAGUAGGUAGCUUAACCUUCGGGAGGGCGCUUACCACUUUGUGAUUCAUGACUGGGGUGAAGUCGUAACAAGGUAACCGUAGGGGAACCUGCGGUUGGAUCACCUCCUUACCUUAAAGAA